CAGAGGCAACAUCAACCCCUUAUAAUGGAUCGCCUGUUUCAAUUUGCAAAUACAAAAAGCCACGCACUCUCCUAGCUUGUGAUUUGAACGUUGAAACAAUAAGCUGGGAUUUAAUUUUACAAUUAAAAUGUCUUUGGACAUUAAAUUUGAAUGGAAACUCGAUUGAAUAACUUCCUGAAGCGAUAGGUGAACUCAUUCAUUUGCGUUAUCUCAAUCUAUUGAAAAAUAGUUGUUUGAAAGAAUUGCCUCAUACUGUUGGUAAUUUAUACAAUCUGCAAACUUUGUGUCUCAUUUAUUGCAAGUCUCUUGUAAAAUUACCAGCCACUAUGAGAAAGCUGAUUAAAUUAAAGCAUCUUUAUACUUACCUCUCUGGUAGUGUAAAGUUGGGAAGUUUGAGAAACAUGGACCAGCUUCGAGGGAGUCUUUGUAUAAAUGGGUUGAGUGAUAUAAACACUGUGAGUGAGGCUAAAGAGGCACAAUUGGUGAAGAAGGAACUCCUGGUCGAGUUGAAUCCGUCUUUCUCAGUAGAUAAAAAUUAUGAGAAAAGAUGGAGGGAUGGACAAAUCCUGAAUGCCUUACAACCACAUCCAAAUUUGGAAGAGUCAACCAUCCUGCAUUACCAUGGCGCCAAUUUCUUUUGUGAGUUUUUGCCUCCUUUGGGGAAUUUGCCGUCCCUUGAGAUUUUAGAAAUAAGUUGGGUGCUUGGUGUGAAAAAGGUGGGAGUUGAGUUUUUAGAUUUGCAGGAGCAAACAUCAUCAUCAUCUUCAUUCCCGAAAUUGAAACAACUUUGUUUUAAAGAUGUCCAGUGGGAAGAAUGGGAAGGAGGAGCAGAGCAUUCUGAAAUUACAAUAAUGCCAUCUCUUUCCUCCUUAACAUUGUGGAACAACCUUAAGCUGAAAACACUGCCGGACUUACUGUGGAAGACACCAGUUUCUGGAAAUCAGUGAUUUUCCGAUUCUCAAACAAGAUUUUGAAAGAGGAAGCGGCAAGCUGUGGGACAAGAGACGUCUCACAUCCCAAACAUUAAAAUUAACCAUCAGUUUGUACGACAAGACGGAGUUCCGAUCCAACCAAACUCGAAACAGAGUCAGAACUGAUGACGACGACCACGGGCUCUGCCAUUCUCAUCCACCUCUUCUUGCUGCAUUGUAGUAUUCUCAGAUAAUCGCUAGGAAGAAGGUAUCUUCUUGAACAAGCAACGUCAUGUGGCUGCACAUAAUCUUGUAUGUAUGAAAAGGUCUGUCAAAAACUUGAGUUGUAGAAGAAAUAUUGCAAUUACUUACUGUCACUGAUAUUGGAAAUCGAAUGAGUACCGCUGCUUCCUUAAUUAUAUAGCCUGAUCAAGAUGGACUUGGAAAGAUGCCUUGCGAUUCUUUGAAGGACUUGUGGAUCACCAAGUUCUUGUAUCGCUCCUCUACUUCAAUGAUGUCGUUACAAAAUUUGAGGAUGCUAGUUCUUCAUGACAGUGAUUUUUGCGAGUUUUUGCCUGCUUUGGGGAAGUUGCAGUGCCUUGAUAUUUUGGAAAUAAGGUGGAUGGGAUGUGUGAAAAAGGUGUGAGAGUUGAGUUUUUAGAACCGCAGCAGACAUCAUCAUAUUCAUUCCGAAACUGGAACAACUUUUGUUUCAAGAUAUAGGGGUGUGAGAAGAAUGGGAAGGAGGAGAAGAUCAGAACUGAUGAUGGUGACGGGCUCUGCUAUUCUCAUCCACCUCUUCUUGCUAAAUUGGUAAUUAACCCAUGAUAUUUACUUUGUUAUGUUCUGUAUUUCCUCUCAAGUUCCUUUUUUAUCUAUGAUCAUCAGAUUCCUUUGUUUCUUUCUUGUUUCAUAUUCUCCGGUAACCACUUGGAAGAUCUUCUUAGAGAAGCAAUGUCAAGUGGUUACAUCCAGCUUUUGCAGCUGUAUGCCCAACACCACAUAAUCUUCGGUGAGAAGGUCUGUCAAACUUGAGUUGUAGAAGAAAUAGUGCAAUUACUGCUCUUGGCAAUGACUGCUACCUUACUUGUAUAACCUGAUCAAGAUGGACUUGGAAAGAUACCCUGCGAUUCAUGACAGACUUGUUCAUCACCAAGCGUAUAUUCGCCUUUAAUGUACUCAUUGGAAAAGUUAUGUUUCUGUCAUGCCUUCUAAACCUGGCUUAAAACUGUAACAUAAAACAGUAUAUUGUCGUUUAAUCUCUCGCAUCCUUCCAUGUGAAUGCAGGGGUGACAGGAUUGAAACCUUCAAAAUCUCAUUUCCCAAGAAGCAUUAAUGGCGGCAGUAUUGAAACUUUCAAAAUCUCUCGCACCCUUCCUUUAAUUGUUUCCAUUUGAGAAUUUUGAAGAUCAAUUUAAGUGACCUGGGUAGUUCCCGGAAGUAUUAAUUAGUAGUCUGUAAACUAAUGGCAGCAGGAAUAGACUUCAAUCAUGUAUAAAAGAACCUUAUUGUGCAUAUGGUUGGAGGUAGAUGUGGGUUUCCAUAUUCUCUUCAACUAUAGCUUUAUAAAUUCUCUCUGCUUCAUGUUGAGUUUUGUUCCAAAAUCUAGUUUGGAAUGAAAAGCUUCCCAGGCAUGGUUCUUCUGUCUCUUUUUUAGAGAAUUGGUAUUCA